rnacentral:rRNA from 1 species
UACGUAGGCAGCGAGCGUUGUUCGGAGUUACUGGGCGUAAAGGGUGCGCAGGCGGCUGCGCGCGUGUGCGGUGAAAUCUCCCGGCUCAACUGGGAGGGUGCCGUGCAGACGGCGCAGCUUGAGUUUGGGAGAGGGAUGCGGAAUUCCAGGUGUAGCGGUGAAAUGCGUAGAUAUCUGGAGGAACACCGGUGGCGAAGGCGGCAUCCUGGACCAACACUGACGCUGAGUGAGCGAAAGCCAGGGGAGCAAACGGG